rnacentral:lncRNA from 1 species
AUCUGGACUCUCCUGAUCGCAGUCUCGCUUAAUAUGAAGGGAGGUUGAGCUCCCUGCAGCACAACGGCCCCCGCAGAGGUGCGCCAGAAGUAACCCGCAGACUGGCAAGAUGUGGCAGUGUCUGUUACGGCUGUUGUCUUCGGCUUCUCGUUCCAGGCGAAAUAAAUCUGUGUGAUGAGGAUGCUGUGCUUGGCAUGCAGCGCUGA